GACGAUCUGACCAACAAAGCAAGAAGGGGCCUGCUGGUGGGCGAGGAGCCACCGGACUUUGGACUUGCCAGUGUUCGCACGAGCACUCGCAACUACACACACGCUGCCUUGCUGCGGAAUCCAGUUCACAGCGGAGAAGGCGAAUGUCCC